CUAUGAGUCACUUGUCAUCCAGAGUUGAGUUAAUCAGACUGGGCAGCCCCCACCUCGCUCAGCCAACUGUGGAGCCUGCCCUCUGGGGCCCCGGCCUGCACAGAUGUCCCACAGCGGCUCCAUCCUACGGACAGGCAUGGUUGUCUAUGCUUCACCCACUGAUGAACACUUCAGUUGCUUCCAUCUCUUGGCCGUUGUGAAUAGUGCUGCUGUGAAUGUGCCAGGCCAUAGGGGUGCAGCCACCAGGUACCUCACUCUGCUGCAUCUGGGCAGCAUGGACAUCAUCUGGUGACAAGGACCUCGCUCCCCAUGUGACACUGGAAGUGGCCGUCACCAAUCAGGACUGGAGAGACCAUGGGUGCAGGAACACAGCCACCAUGCUCAAGCCAAGAGUGAAUGGUUCUCCUCUAAAAUAUUCUGUAAUAGGGCUUCCCUAUUCAAUGGUUCAAUGUUUAAGAGUCACCUUGCAACGCAGAGGACACCGGUUCAGCCCCUGGUCUGGGCACACGCGGCAGAGCAGCUAAGCCUGCGAGAUGCAACUCCUGAAGCCUGUGUGCCCUAAGAGCCCGCGCUCUGCAACAAGAGAAGCCACCGCUGAGAGGCCUGUGCACCACAACUAGAGAAAAGCCCGUGCGAAGCAACAAAGAUCCACCACAGCCAAUAAAUACAUGUCUUAAACAUCCUUUAAUAUUGUUAUGAUGUCGAUCUUGCAAUAAAUAAAAUUCCUGUGACAAACAGAGGAGGCAGAGGGAGCGAUAGACACAGAGACCCAGAGAGCCGUGGUGAGGAUAAAGCCUGGCGGGGGCGGGGGCAGAAAGUCAGUGAGGCUGGGGAGGGAGCAAAAGGAGUUGGGCCUCAGGAGGGACGUGGGACAUCCUGGCCCAGGGUCUGGGGUCCCUGGGAGCCCUGGCAGUUGGACGCUGGGAAGGACAGGGCAGGACAAUGCAUAGGGUGUAGACAGCGAGCAGAAGGGGUAGAUAAUCUUGAUGAAGUGCAGGGGCCCAUGUGCACUGGCGCCCCGCACUGCCCCUGAGCUGGCACUGCACGAAGACACACAGAGCUGGCCCAGGGACCCAUGGGGAUAGCGGCAGAGAUGACGGGCCAGGUGCAGAACAGGGAACAGGAAGAGUGAAUGACUCAAGAGAUGGUUCCAAGAAGUGGGUGUGGGCAGAGGGGCUCAGCUCUCUUGAGCAGAUUCACUGAGAUGAGGACUAGGGGAGGGAGCAGGUGAGGGCCACAGGAGGGGGUCCUGGGCCGUGACCCUGUCUGGGGAGCAACGGGAGAGGCUGAAGAGGACACCUCCUGGGACCACAGGGCUCGUGGGGAGAAGCUGGAGGAAGCCUGGUGGGGAAACGGGACUGGAGCACAGGGACAGAGGGAAGCAGCCCUGGAUCACAGCAGCGCCAGGGCCUGAGGCAGAGAGGUAUGACAGAGGACACCCAGUGGUGAGGCUUUGGACGGCGGGGGAUGCAUUCCCCAGAGAUGCUGCUGCAGGGGCCUCGGCUGAACUAGGUCCUUCUCUGCUCCAAUGCAGUGGCUCUGUCUCCUCACAAACUUCACCCCUCCGAGGAGUCAGACCCCACCAGGGCCUGGCAGACCUGCCGUGGCAUCCACAGCACCCGCCUGGCUCUCCAUCUCCACCGGCAGACUCAUCUGCCCCUGCUGGCCCAGAGCCACGGUUGGCCCUCCUUUCUGGCUGAUGCAGAGCCAUGUCAUAUCCUCUUUAAGGCCACAACCCACGGACUUGUCAGGACCCUGGAGGCAAUCGUCCCAGAGGGGGCAUCUCCCACCCAGCAACCCCCCAGCACCCUGAGAAUGGCUGCAGGGCAGUGGCUGCUGCACUGUCUCAGCUCCAUUGCUGAGCUGGAGCCCCAGAUGGUGGGCUUCUCAGGGGGGAGUCUGUCUCUCUUCUGGUGAUGGGAGGGGUGACUAUCAGGCCUUGGCACCUAUCAGUCAGAUGCAGCAGGGCAGUCUAGGAUGUCUAGCUGCAGCUGAUCCUCUGAUAGUUGGAAAGGUCCUAGAUGGGGGAGGAAGAUGUAUCAAGGGCUCAGGCCACUAUUUGCCCUGGCUUGGCCAGUCCUGGUGACUCAGUGAGCAGUAGGCAGGAAGGGGCCAUCUCUGGUCAUAGUUCUGGGACUCUGAUAAGACCAUCCUGAGCAGAGGAGACACUGGGGACCUCAUAAUGGAACCCAGAAAUACGUCAGCUUCCAGGAGUGAAGAAGAGGGAAGACAGGAGGUGUGGUCCUGGAGGACUUCCUGGAGGAGGUUCUCUGAGCUAUAUCCAGCUGGUGGCUUCUAAAGAGAACUGGACACCAUGGCAUCUGCCAGCCCAGAAGCCUGACUAUCACCAGCGGAAUAAGCCAGACCCAAGAAAAUGCUUGUGAACAGGGAUCUCUGUUCCCAUCGCCACUGCCAGAAGGGCCAACACAUUCCUCCGUGUGAUUUAUCUGCGCAUUCAUAAGCCCAGGGAGAGCCUCCCCCAUCCGCCAACAUUUUGGGAGAAUGCCCAGGACCUGCGCAAGGAAAUCAGAUUCCCUAGUAACUGCUUUCCAAGGCCACAGAUACUCUAAAAAAGACAGAUGGAACUGAAACUCGGACUUGGGAGAGUCACCUUGCUGGGGACUCACAAAGAGCGAGGAAGAGCAGGGGUGUUGUGGCCCCGAGUCAGCCCUUCUCAAUUUGUCCGUACCAGCCAGCAGGCACCUGCACUGAGCUGGACAGUGGCCCAGCCCAGCAAGGCUGACAUCUCAGUUCACAUCAGAGGUCAGCAAAGCAGGGCGACUGGAACAUAGAGAUCCUGCCAUGAUGAUGGCAGCUCACUCGGAGGGCCUGGGCAUGCCCCGCAGGCUCUGAGCCCUGUGAGGGGGAUAGGAGGCUGACAAAGGGCUCCGGGAGAGGUCAGCAAGUGGCCACGCAGACUCCAAAGCCAUCUUCUCUGUUCCAAAGGUGUUCUCCCUGCCUAAGCUGAAAUAACAACUUUGAGGAGACAAAACACUUUUUACCAUCCACGGACUCUUGCUACCAAAGAUCCUUCCAAAGACCCGUGCCCUCCCCUCACCAGAGAAACUUAAUCCCCAUGAAGCUCUGCCUUCCAGGAUGUUUGGACAACUCCGGGUUGACUCUUUUCCCGGGACCAUGCUGACCACAUGAUCGUCUUCUUGGGUAUGCCAGGUACCCACUGUCGGCCCACACCUGGACCACACUGAAUAAUAACCCUCACCUGGACGCAACAUCUAACAGAUCACAGCUCAUGCAGGCUUGCUCUGUCACAUAGCCAAUGCCCUUAACCUUCAGCAAAACUCUGUUAUUCAUGGAACACAGUUAAAUCAGCCCACUUUGUUCCAGCAUGUUCUCGUCAUUUCUGAGACAUGGUGUCAAUUGUCACUAGAUGGAAAUGAACAACUUAGGAAUCAAAAAAAGGAAGAACAAAAGACAGUUUCUAAAGAUUCAAAUAAUAUAUAUGCAAAGAUCCCCCAAACAGAAGUGACCACAAAACACUCCACUAAUGUAGGAUUUUGUGUUCUGCAAAUAAAGCAUGCUAGCUGCGCCAGCUCAUUUUUGAGUA